CAGAAUCCAAUGUGAAGCAGAGGAAAGCUGUCACACAACCCUCCAGCAUGAGAUAAACAUCAUCAAAAGCAAUGCCAGAUAUGAAAGAACACCCUGAAUCAGAGCUCAAAGACUCAGCACAAAAGUGAACGUCUUAAGAAAGAUGAGAGACUGUUCUCCCUGGAAAGAGGACUGAAAGGACGUUAGUGUGUAAGAGGUCUUAGGGCCUGUUCCUGGGAUAAAAACGCGUGGAAGGGAACAGAGCAGGAUCAAAGAGAGGGAAGAGUCCAGCUGUAAUGCAGUCAUCUCUGCAGACCUGAAGAUGGAUGACCCAACCGAGCGGUCCCCAAAGGGGUCGAGAGUUCCAGGCCUUCACACCCUCUGUCACUGGGACCGGCUGCCCUGGAGUGGGGUGACCUUGGGUGAGGAAGCUUUCAGCAGUUGUGCUAAUCCCUAAAGGUGCUGACGGCUGAGGAUGGACUCCCAGCACUUGGGGUAACCAACCGCUUCUGGAGGGUUGAGACCGGAAUUAGUGAGUACACGGCAAAGCAGGUCACACUCAGUGGCAUUCAAGAGGUUAAGUGAUCCCAGAAAGUUCCGGAGAGGAAGUGGGUACAUAGAGUAGGAGUGGUCGGGGAAGACUUUGGGAUGUGGAAGGCGUUGGAGGUGGACCUCAAAGAGUGAAACACGCUGCAACGAAGGCUGAAAGGUUUCCAGGCUGAAAGCUGCAUUACCAGUGGGCUCUUAGUACCUGAUCAUGGAUGAGGACCUAAGAAAUCCUUUAAGAGGUGGACAGUCCAUGCGUUUAGUGUGACUUUAAUGUCAUAGCCACUGAGGUGGAGGCGAAUUUCUCUGUUCUUUUAAAUCUAUCGCUAGUAAAAUUUUUUUAAAAAAUCAUCUGUCUCCAUACCAAAUGGUAUCUUAUAUCGGAGUCCAUCUCUUCAUUUUUCAUGAAGGAUAAAAACACUGUCCUAAGUGUGCAAAACAGCACAAGCUUCUGUGGAAUUUAGAUUUACUAAAAUAUGAGUAAACAAAACUAUACUGUGUAUGGAAACAUACGCCCCCAUGGCAGGGCACUCGCCCUGCAUUAGACCCACAAGAAGAAAAGGAUCUCUCUCCCCCUUGUGAAUCUAUGCUCCUCCCAUGCGGAGCUGAGCCUCAGGCAGCAGUCAGAGGGCAGGGACUCCCCAUCACUACUUGCAAUGCUCAGAAAAGCAAACUCGCGGUCGUCUCCAGCUCUCCUCCCAUCAGCCUACUCCUGCCUCUAUUGCGCAGGCAAGUCACACCUUUUGAUCAUCCAUCUCUGCAGGGCAAUUGCUCUCAUGCUGUAGCCUCACCACGUGGGCACUUAGACUCCCUGGCAUUCUACUGUGGUGAUUGCGGUGCUGCAUUCUACUGUGGUGAUUCCUGUGCUGUUCUCCAAUCAUUUCUUUUGUACACUGUUGUCUUCCUGAACAGAUUCUUAAGUUCCUUUAUGGACAAAAUACCUCUUUGAAUCUCCCACGGCACCACUGCAGUGCCAUGCCUUACCAGGUUUGGAAGAAAUGCCUGCUGAUUUUGAUUGACUGGGCACCUCCUGCAAAUAGAACAUUACCAGGCAUUGCCAUAGGUAGGCACAAUACAAUGGCACAUUUAAGAUGCCCGGGUGCAAUUAAGAUGAAGACUCAUGUCACUACGCCCUACACACUUGGUGGUCGCUACCACUUUUUAGUUGCCACUUUCUCCUCAGGGCUUAAGCCCACCCUGAAAAUGAUUGGGAAAGACAUUCAGGCUGUGAUGCUGCCCUGAGGUGAGCUGGCAAGUAAGAGGAUUUUCGUAGGAGCAAAUGUGUGUUCUAAAGAGAACUUUCCUUUCAUCUUGUUUUCGGUUUCCUUUGCUGUGCAAAAGCUUUUAAGUUUCAUUAGGUCCCAUUUGGGUAUUUUUGUUUUUAUUUCCAUUUCUCUAGGAAGUGGGUCAAAAAGGAUCUUGCUGUGAUUUAUGUCAUAGAGUGUUCUGCCUAUGUUUUCUAUUUGCAAAUGAAGCAACUGACAAAGGAUCAAUCUCCAAAAUUUACAAGCAGCUCAUGCAGCUCAAUAUCAGAAAAACAAACAACCCAAUCCAAAAAUGGGCAGAAGACCUAAAUAGACAUUUCUCCAAAGAAGAUAUACAGAUUGCCAACAAACACAUGAAAGGAUGCUCAACAUCACUAAUCAUUAGAGAAAUGCAAAUCAAAAGUACAAUGAGGUAUCACCUCACACGUGUCAGAAUGGCCAUCAUCAAAAAAUCUGCAAACAGUAAAUGCUGGAGAGGGUGUGGAGAACAGGGAACCCUCUUGCACUCUUGGUGGGAAUGGAAAUUGAUACAGCCACUAUGGAGAACAGUAUGGAGGUUCCUCAAAAAACUAAAAAUUGAACUACCAUACGACCCAGCAAUCCCACUACUGGGCAUAUACCCUGAGAAAACCAUAAUUCAAAAAGAGUCAUGUACCACAAUGUUCAUUGCAGCUCUAUUUACAAUAGCUAGGACAUGGAAGCAACCUAAGUGUCCAUCGACAGAUGAAUGGAUAAAGAAGAUGUGGCCCAUAUACACAAUGGAAUAUUACUCAGCCAGAAAAAGAAACAAAAUUGAGUUAUUUGUAGUGAGCUGGAUGGACCUAGAGUCUGUCAUACAGAGUGAAGUAAGUCAGAAAGAGAAAAACAAAUAUAGUAUGCUAACACAUAUAUAUGGAAUCUAAAAAAAAAAAAAAAAGUUCUGAAGAACCUAGGGGCAGGACAGGAAUAAAGACACAGACGUAGAGAAUGGACUUGAGGACACAGGGAGGGGGAAGGGUAAGCUGGGACUAAGUGAGAGAGUGGCAUGGACUUAUAUAUACUACCAAAUGUAAAAUAGAUAGCUAGUGGGAAGCAGCCGCAUAGCACAGGGAGAUCAGCUAGGUGCUUUGUGACCACCUAGA